rnacentral:lncRNA from 1 species
AUUCUUCUCUUCCACCUGGUGAAAUUUGUUUCUCAUCUGUAGAAUUGCAUGCUCCAAAUGCACGAGCAGAAUCCGAACUGCUGGCGCUUGAUGCCGGGUCCUCCCGCUUCUCAACAGGGCCUUUCUUUUAUGAUUUUGGCCUUGGUCAAUGGCCUUAAUGAUCAGGUUGCCUGCGAGGGCAUCACACAAUUCUUAACCUCUCUAUGGACUUCAAGGAUCUUCAGAAAAAGAUUGAUUUGAGUUCUCAAGGUUCAGCAAGGUUUGAACUUCUUACCCUGGUGUUAGAAGGGUAGUGUCUUCUGAGAACUCGCUAUACACAGGAGCAGCAUGCUGAGAAAACAUCUUCCUCUCUUAUCUACUGUCCAUUGUGUGUACAUCUACCAGAGCAGUGCCUUCCAAAGGAAGUCUAGGAACCAGGUUAACAGAAUCUCUGGAAGAAGAUAUUAGGCUUUUAUUAUAGAAUACUGUGUUCUGCCCUGGGAGGCUCUGCUUCAACACAUUUGAGAGAGGCCAAGAAAAAAAAAUCUGAGUUUGGAACAGGUACCUUGAAUAAGUCUAUUUUAGAAAUAUAUUGUGAAGCUAUAUAGAAGCAUUCCAUUAGUUCUGAGUUGUACUAUAAAUACACUGGAGAAGGGACAGUCCAGAAGAAAAAACUCUGGGUAACUGCAGUAACCAUAUGAAGAAGAUAUGAAUAGCACCUACUGAGGACCAGUGAUGGCCAUUGUCCAUCACCUGAUUCCAUAUAGAGUCUAUCAAGUUUCCAGAAAGAAUGGCUCCACUGCAUGAUUCCUGUCUGGUGACCUCUGUGAAGAAAUUGUUUGACCCUUAAAGGAACCGUGAUCCAUAAGUUGAAAACUCCUAAUCUACUGAAUAUGUUAGCAUUCCAAGAUUCUUUCAUUGUUGAACUUAGAUCUUAGGAUGAGGGAUGCAGCACUGAAAAAGCUAUAAUUUAGGCAUGCAUUUGUUUGACGCAGUGGUGUCUCGUUGAUGGUGAAUGAGCAGGAAACUCCAUCUUGCUCAUUGGCUAUGAAUUUGAGCCAGCGCUCUAUCUCAGUCUCCAAGUAAGAAAGUCACUAGACAGAACACAGAGGGAUUCGAAAUAUCUUCUCAUUAAGAGAUGAGGAAUGAGAAAAAUCGUCCCCACAAUUUCAACAAAUUGCUCUGUACUGCAACCUCGCAAUCAAGAAGCAGCGGAAAACAAAUUAUGAUAUUUACAAAGUGUUCU